AGGCCAUGGUGAGGGCACUAUAACAAAAAUCCCUUGAGUCUUUCCCAAGCUGUAACCAACGACUCCCCUUCAGCCUGUUGGAAAUUUAUUAUUUGACUUCUCAUUUU